rnacentral:rRNA from 1 species
GUCCACGCCGUAAACGAUGGGUGCUAGGUGUGGGUGGUGUCGACUCCAUCCGUGCCGAAGCUAACGCAUUAAGCACCCCGCCUGGGGAGUACGGCCGCAAGGCUAAAACUCAAAGGAAUUGACGGGGGCCCGCACAAGCAGCGGAGCAUGUGGUUUAAUUCGACGCGACGCGAAGAACCUUACCAGGGCUUGACAUGCACGGGAAUGUCGUAGAAAUACGGCAGCCCUUCGGGGCUCGUGCACAGGUGGUGCAUGGCUGUCGU